UACAGAGGGGGCAAGCGUUGUUCGGAAUUACUGGGCGUAAAGGGCGCGUAGGCGGCUUGCUAAGUCAGACGUGAAAUCCCCGGGCUCAACCUGGGAACUGCAUUUGUGACUGCAUCGCUGGAGUACGGCAGAGGGGGAUGGAAUUCCGCGUGUAGCAGUGAAAUGCGUAGAUAUCGGAAGGAACAUCAGUGGCGAAAGCGACUUCCUGGACCAAUACUGACGCUCAUGUGCGAAAGCGUGGGGAGCAAACAGG
rnacentral:rRNA from 1 species